rnacentral:lncRNA from 1 species
UCGCAGAGUGUUGUUGUCAUCACAGUCGUCACAGGAAAUCGGGCGCACCUGUAACUUGUGAUCUGUCAUACUUUAAGAAUUUAUUUUGGCUCGGAAAAGCAUUUAUUGUACACCUUUCCAAUCUCUUGAUAACUAGUACAACAUGUCUGCAUUGUUCAACUUCCAAAGUCUCCUCAGUGUUUUGCUGCUGAUGAUUUGUACCUGCGCAUAUAUACGAUCCUUUGCACCUUCACUGCUCGACAGACAAAAGACCGGCCUGGUUGGGACCUUUUGGAAAAUGGCAAGAAUUGGUGAGAGGAAAAGCCCAUGGGUGGCUGCAGCUUGUGUAAUGAUGGCCGUGAAUGUCCUUUUCUUAUCAUAGUUAUAGUGCAAUAUUUAUAAGGAUUUAAUUGAAAAAUAGCACAGUCACAAGAAAUGAUGUUUAGGCAAACAAAGCUUGGAGUCUACAAACAUCAGCUGAUUUCAGAAUGCUUCAAUAUUUCUUAACAAAGAGGAUGCAAGACAUUUUGUGCUUUAAUUUACUAUGGAACUGCUCAACAAACAACUAAUUAAGAGGAGCAUGCUUGUUCCUCAAGAGUGUAGCUGUAUUGCUUGAUGGAAGACCAAACUUUUUGUGAUCCAAAUGUAAAGUUUUAUAUGUUGUCUCAUGAAAAUAAUCAUGACAAAUAUUUUUC